ACCGCUGCAAGUUAGCACUGGACAAAGUAGCAUCAACUUCUUCAUUUAGAGUUUCUUCAGUUAAAUUGCUGGGAUUUUCGACAAGGCUUUCCUUAUGUGGAUUAUUGGAGUGUGAUGCCCGGGAAUUCUCUACUUGUAGAAGCACGCCCACGGGACUGCAGAAGCCUUCACACCCACCCAGCACGCUCAGAAAGUACUGUCUUCAACCUUACCAAUGUCAGUGGCGGUGACGGUGGCGUCAUCAUCACCAUCAGAGAAAAAGAAAUAUGCCUUUAUGUCAUGAUGGGAAUGAGUGAUGGCCAUCCAGUGACCAGCUGGAUCUGACUGCCUUACAAGACGCAUGUGUAUGAUUAAGAGAGAGACAUUCGUGACUCCCAGAUGUACCUCCUUCCUGUCCCACAGUGUUCCUGAAGGGAGUGAGUUAUGGGGUAACUUAUAACACAGCAGGCUCUUCCUCAAGAUAGCUCUUGUCAAAACAGGAAGACGAAACUCGGGUUUCCAUGAGGAGACCACAGCUUGGGAUCCUGUCUGGAUGUACAAGCAGAAACAUCUUCAUACUUUUCCAUUUCUAACCGUCAUGCCUCACCCCACUCUCCCAAGGCGACAUCUGCAGAGAGGUGGAACCAUCUAGGGAGGCCUGCCACUGUUUGCUGAGCUCCGGGUGAGGAUGAAGACACUUUGACAUGGCCAGCUUCAGACUCGGGAUCUGUCGGUGUUAGCAGCCGAAGGAGAAUGAGGAGGAAGAGGAGGAGAAAGAGGAGGAGGAAGUAAGACAGAGGGGGACAAGAGGACCAAGAGGGCACAUGGCUGAGGAGGAGGAGAAC
ensembl:processed_transcript